GGCGAACGCUGGCGGCGUGCUUAACACAUGCAAGUCGAACGGAAAGGCCCUGCUUUUGUGGGGUGCUCGAGUGGCGAACGGGUGAGUAACACGUGAGUAACCUGCCCUUGACUUUGGGAUAACUUCAGGAAACUGGGGCUAAUACCGGAUAGGAGCUCCUGCUGCAUGGUGGGGGUUGGAAAGUUUCGGCGGUUGGGGAUGGACUCGCGGCUUAUCAGCUCGUUGGUGGGGUAGUGGCUUACCAAGGCUUUGACGGGUAGCCGGCCUGAGAGGGUGACCGGCCACAUUGGGACUGAGAUACGGCCCAGACUCCUACGGGAGGCAGCAGUGGGGAAUAUUGCACAAUGGGCGGAAGCCUGAUGCAGCAACGCCGCGUGCGGGAUGACGGCCUUCGGGUUGUAAACCGCUUUCGCCUGUGACGAAGCGUGAGUGACGGUAAUGGGUAAAGAAGCACCGGCUAACUACGUG
rnacentral:rRNA from 1 species